GAAUAUUGAUACAAUCAAAUACAUUUGGCUAUUUAAAGACAAAAUAAAGAAUUUCUUAAUAAGUAGUUACUCUUUGAAAUUGAUAAAAGAAAAUAAAAUGAAAUAAAUCGAAGAAGACACAAUACAAGAAUAGUGAUUCUGUGAGUAUGUACCUAAGCCCUCAUUAGUGCAUUUUUUGUUAUAUUUGUUUUGUUUGCUAUAGGGUAAUUCCGGGAGAGAUAGCCCGCCGGGUGAGAUGGCUCUUUCUAAUAUUUCCUAAAUAUAUUUGAUUUAUGGCACUGUAGCUUUAGACACAUCCUAUUCAACGUGCUGUAUAUAUCGUGAUCCAGGUUUGCGGUUUUUUUCUAUACUUUAAGAGUCAUGCCGACUGACUACAUUAGAAAAGGUUCAGUACAAAGAGGAAACUGAACUGAAGAAGAUUUAGUCAAUGCUGCAGAAGCUGUCAGAAAUGGUGUUAUGGGUAUCAGAGAGACAUGCCGUAACUUUAAUAACAUUCCACCACCAACAUUUCACAAGCGCUUCGAAAACAAUGAUUUCCAGAAACGAGCUCUUGGUCCACCUUGUGUUCUUGGUAUCGAAAAUGAGAAAAAAAUUAAGCUACAUAUCCAGAAAUUACUGAAACAUGGAUUUGCACCAACUCGUGAAUGCGUCAGAGCAAUGGCAUUUAACUUGGCAGAGCAGUUGAAAAUUAAACACACAUUUAAUAGAGAGAAAAAACUGGCUGGGUAUGAUUGGUUAACUAUGUUUUUAAAACGAAACCCCGACCUAAGUGUUCAGCAGAAAAGCUGAAGGGGUGUCACCAGCCCGUUGUAAAGAAAUGAAUAAGAUAGAUGUUUAUGUGUAUUUUAAUUUACCUGAAACCACAUUAAUCGAAGGAGAAAUAAUGAGCAAAGCUGGUCACAUAUUUAAAAUGGACGAAACGGGCUUACAAUUAAAUAAUAAACCUGGUUAUGUUAUUGCUACAAAAGGCUAAAAAAAUGUUGCUGCAAUUACUGCUUCAGAGAAGGGAGAAACCAUAACAGUAAUAUCAUGUUAUAAUGCAGAGGGUUAUUACAUACCAUCUACUUGUAUAUUCAAGGGGAAAAAUAAAAAAGCUUAGUUUGAAGAUGGAAUGCCCCCUGGCUCCACUGUUUAUAUGAAUGAAAAAUCAGCUUACAUUAACACUGAUAUAUUUGCUUGGCUAAAAAAUCAAUUUAUACCACGUAAACCGCAACGAAAAGUUCUACUUUUACUGGAUGGGCAUGCUAGCCAUUGCAGCUCAUCAGAGAUGCUUGAACACACUGAUGAACAUGGUGUUAUUCCUCUUUGCCUGCCUAGUCAUACCACACAGUUUCUCCAACCUUUAGAGAGAUGUUUUUUAUGUUUUACCUAUCUAUUAUUGAUUUAUAAUACCUUAGAAACGGAAUAUGUUAUGGUAGCAAUAAUACCUGCUAUCACACCUAGGGCAUUAUAAGCGGGCAUUAUAAUAAUGCCCGGAAAUUUUAUUGCUUAUCCAAAUUUAUUUCUCUCAUAAUAAAGAAUAAACAUCCAUUUUAUACAAAAAAUAAUGUUUCUUUAAAUACUAAAAAUUAAACUUUAUGUCCAAAAUAAAAAUUACAAUUUUGAAAUGUCCCGGAAAAUGUAGCUGAUCCCACUAUAGAAUGGUCGGUGUUUUUUGUGAUGGUAGAGGUGGCAGCACUAACGCUAUUUUGUAUAGUUUGUAAAUUGUCCAUUAAAGAAUUUUCUAUAGUCGAUACGGAAUUAACCUCGGAAUUAACUGAAUUGGCAAUCAUUUUGGCUACUUUAUUUUUGGAUGAAAUACUUUCUUUUAUAUAUCCUUCCGCUACUAAAGAGUUUUUCCAUUUCCCAUGUUGUUUUAGCAUUUUAAACGAAGCACUUGCCUUAACAAGUAAAGUUGACGAUGUGCGACGCAAACAGUGGCCGGUAUAAGCUUCUGCAUUAUCCAGUUUUAAAAAUUUUGCGAUCAAUGUUGGGACGUUUCCUAUGGUAUUUUUCCAACAGGUUGUACUGUACAGCGACUCUUUCUAUAGGUAAGAAAGAAUCUUCGCUCCUUUAUUCCCGCUGGUCUUAAUGCUGCGUACUUUUUUAUUAAAUUUAAAGCGCCUAAAUCUUCUUCAAUGAUAGUGAAACUUUUUGAAGUUUUAGUUUCUGGUACCUUUAUAACCAAGACCGUUUCUCUAUCUUCAAUAUCAUCAAUGGUCAUUUUGACCAACUCAUCUCGUCUUAAACCUCCAAAAAUACCAAUUACCAAUAUGACUUUGUGUACCAAGUAUAGAUAUCAUCAGGAGCCUUCUUAUUAAAUUUUAUUAUUUGUUCUCCUUCCAAAACUUUAGAAUUCUUCGGGACAUAUCCUUUCGACACUUUAAAAAGGAUAUGAGACGAUGGUAUUGCGAGAUGUCUAUAUUUUUAUAAACCAUUAACGUAGACCUUAGGGUAAAAUACUUGGUCCAGAGAGAGUUCGGACUGUAUUUUUCCGACUAAAAAUAUUAAAAUUUGUUAGACAUAUGUACCUACCUAUUAAAAUAAAAUCAAUAACUUACUAGUUCCUGAAUCCAUUAGAACGGUUUCGGUUAUUUGAACAAUUGCGUAGGCAUCUUUCGAAAUACCAAAUAUGCCAUACUCCCGAUCAUACUGUUGCCUUGAUUUAACUGGCAAAAGAUUUUCGGUCGCUUUUAUGGCCUUUUCUCUUAUAUUUUGUGGAAUUUUUUCCAUUUUAAGAAAAUAUUUAAACAAAAAAUGCCAACUCUGACCGAAACAUCAAAAUCAAACUUAAAUAAUCACUGCAAGUCACUUGAUAAAUUUCCUGUACAGAUAGACCCUAUUUUGUAAUUAAUAUUAAAAUUAUUUUUGUUCAUAAAAAUCAAUUUUUAGGUAAAACAUAAAGCAUUGUAUGCACCACGGGCAUUGUUAGACUCUAAUGCCCAUCAGGCGGAAACCUACUAUUUCCACCUUCCGGGCAUUAUUGUCCUUACAAUGUCCUUGAUACAUAAAUAGCUAUAGGAGCCUUAAAGCUUUUUUUAAUAAUGCUUGCAACACAUUUAUUAGAACAAAUCCAACUAGGAAAACUAACCGGUUACAAUUUAACCAGCUGCUAUCUAAGGCGUGGGUAAAAGCUGCGACAGUUGAGAAUGCUGUAUCUGCUUUUAGGUCAACAGGUGUUUCUCAACAUGGUGUUUGGAUAAUACGGCAGUUAAUAAUGAUGCAAAUAGAGCUAAUAAUGAUGAAAAUCAAAUACCAAAACAAGAACAAGCAAUACCAUCCACGUCAACGUCAGGCUUGAAUAACAUAAUAUCGGAACGUGAUGAAGAUCAAAAUCAGGACGCACCCGGAACACUGUUAAACAAAUUUUCGCCUGUUCCAAGCACAUCAGCUAAUAUUGAAAAUGCACGAAAAAGAGCAAACCUGGUAGCUUGCGUCCUAACAUCUCCGGAAAAUAUUCAAAAACAAAAAUUGGCUAACGUGCGUAAGAAGGACGAAGAAAAGAAAAAAGAAAUUAAAAAGAUACGACGAUUAUAAACAAGCAAAAACAAAAAAAUAAUGAUGAUGGGUCAAAUGAUUCAUGUGUAAAGGAACAAACUAAAAACAUAAAAGGGAAAAAUAAAUUAAACCUAACCACCCAAAAACCAAGAGCGAAAAAACUUAAAUUAAAUAAAGACGAGUCAUUCACAGAUACUGACACAUCAGACGACUAUGUUUUCGAAUCUGAGGAUUGCUCACAAGAAGACGAUUCUACAGAAUGCCUUGGAUAUGGCGAGAUAUACGAACUCACAACUAAAACUCAUGACUGGAUUCAAUGUAUUCACUGCACAAGGUGGUUCCAUGAAAGCUGCUCUAAAUAUUCGAAUCUCUGUGACCUAUGUAGAAAAAUUUUAUCAAAAAAGCGAUGUUAAAUUAAGUUUUUUUAAUGGGCCGUCUCACCCAGUAUGGGUGAGCCAACUAACCCAUAGCACCUGGGAGAGUUGGCCUAUUCAGCUUAUUUUUUUUAAACUGUUUGUAGAGUUAGAUUUUUUAGUUUUUCUUUAAAUAUUACUUUUGACGUUAACUGGAAUAAAUGCUUAUGUUAAAUCUC